rnacentral:rRNA from 1 species
UACGGAGGAUGCGAGCGUUAUCCGGAAUUACUGGGCGUAAAGGGAGCGUAGGCGGGAAAUUAAGUUAAGUGUGAAAGCCUUGGGCUUAACCCAAGAAAUGCACUUGAUACUGGUUUUCUAGAGUGUAGGAGAGGUAAGUGGAAUUCCUAGUGUAGCGGUAAAAUGCGUAGAGAUUAGGAGGAACAUCAGAGGCGAAGGCGGCUUACUGGACUAUAACUGACGCUGAGGCUCGAAAGCGUGGGGAGCAAACAGG